AAAAUAAAAAUAGCAGCCUACUUCUAAAAAAUCCUAACCCAGCCCAAUCCAAAAACACUAAGUCUAUUACAUAUAAAAUCAGAGUAGGGUUUCAAAAUUAAGACUCUCAUCUUUAUCUUCUUUCUUCCAACUUCACCUGGAAAAUGUUCCCUUUGCCAAUUUUCGUUUCACUAUUCUCUAACUUUGGGUGAUAUGCAUUGUGCCAUGGUUGACCUUGGAUGGAUCUUUUUGUCAGCUUGCAGAAUUGUGUUCUCCUAUGGAUGGGACUUUGUUAUACUUUUUGUGAUGCAUAGAGAGAUCUAAUCAAGUGGAAGCAGUUACCUUCUCCAAAUAUAGCUGGUAGAGAGAUAAUGGGAUUCUCAAAAACAUAAUUAUUUUGAGUAGUAACAUGCUUCCCAGGUUCAUGAACUCUAAUCUGACCAACUAACCCUCUCAUUUUGCUGCGAUUCCUUUUGUAAGUUGCUGUAAAGUAGGCUAAAUAGUUGUUUCACCUUUUCUAUUGCCUUCUUGGUUUUGUAAAUAUGAUUUUUGUGAAAAACUUAGCUUUAGCCUUCCUAUCCCCUUUACCCCUUUUUAUUGUGACAAUUAUAGAUAAGGACAUUGCAACUUAUCACUAUUGAUAAUGCAUUUACCUUUUGCUUGCAACUACUGAAAUUUUGUGAAUGUGAAGUCCCCUUUUCUAAUACAAAAUUAGAAAAAUAAUUAGCUAACUGUUUUGCCUCUCUAAGUAUAUGUUGAAACUAUACUUGCCUACUUAAUAGCAACUGCCAAAUUUGUUGAACACUUUCUGAUAUACCCGAUACGCAUUCCCAUUCUCUGUUUAAAAUUCUUUGCAUUGUUAGUAAAUCUAUCUGAAUGAUCAAUUUAUCAUCUUGUGUGUGUCUGCAAUGCUUGGCUUCUUGUAGAAUUUACAUUGCUUCUGCGUCUAUAUUGUUAGUAUCCUCCAUUAUAGCUCUUUUUACAUAUAUUAAAUCACUAUGCACAUUUCUUAGACAAAAAGCAUAUGAACUAGCUCCUAGAUUCCCCCUUGAUGCUCCAUCAACGUUGUACUUCACCCAUCCUUCUAUUGGAAAUUCCCAUAGAACUCUAGUGACUCUAACUCUAGUCCUUA